CAGGGCCAGAUGCUCUCCCCCUGCUUAACCUAAAGGGCAUCACCACUUUGCUGGGUGCCCCGUUGCUCAGUCCACAGGGGGACCUUGCCUCUCCAAGCAGACCGGGCUAAUCAUUACUUGACUUUUAUUUGAACAUCUGCGCCCUGCCUUUCUCCACAGGCCCCAAAGUGGCCAACCAAAACUAAAAUCCCAUAGAAAGCAAAAAGGUCAUUUCCCAAAGCGCCAUGAAAUGGGGCACACCCCACAUGCUGUGGGGGCAGAGCAGGCACUGGAAAACUACCACUAGAAGACAAACAACCCUGUUCAAAGCAGCCAUUGAGCAGCAACUGUUACCCAGCAACCAUCAAUGAUAGAACCCUGGCCCUGUUUGAGCAGGAAUAACUGUCCUUCUGGCCUUCCUCUUCCCUGGGGGUUACCAACCUCUCCUCCUGUGCCUUUCAAAGCAACCCAAGAAAAGUGUCAGGAGAUAAGGAUCAGAUGAGGAUCUGGGGCCCAAUUCUCAUUCAGCCUGAAGCUCCCUGGGGGGAAUUGGGGCCAAUCUCUUGCUAUCUACUGGCUUUUGGCCAAAGGCAUUCAAGACUCUACAGAAAUGGAUUGCGAGAACGCCUGACCUGAGAAAUUGACACAAGAUGGAGCGGAGGUGAAUGCACAGUUUAACGAGAAGAAGGCAGAUCACCAAAGACGGCGGGAGUCCUGUGAUGAGGUUGGGAAGUCGGGAGAAGCUAAGAAGAAGGAGAGAAGAGACUCUACAGUGGGAGAACCACUUUGGGAAGAGCAGGAUCAGCCCCUUUAUCAUUUUGGUUUCCCUCUUCUGCUGCACCUUCUUCAGUUCGACAGUAUCGCUUUUUUGGUAAUCUGGCGACCGGAACGAUACACUUUACUUCUGAGGAACAGCUACAACUGGAAACAAGGUCAGCUUCAUGUUGUUGUUGUUGUUGUUAUAGCCCAGUAAGCUUCCAGACCACCUUGGGUUUAUUCUCUCUUUUUGACAGUUAAAGCACCACAUUUUCAUUGACGCCAGGAGAUGUUGAACAGUAGGGCACACAUCCUGGGGUGCCUCUGUUAUGGCAGAAGAGAUAUUCCCAGACUGAUUGGGCAAGGUUCGGACCACAAUGUGUGUCUGGACAUUUAAAUUUGCAUUCUGAUUGGGCAAGACCUCUAGGGUUUUUAAAUUCUGUCUUGAUCGAAUUGGGCAAGAUCUCUAGGAUUUUUAAAUUGUUUCUGGAAUUGGGCAAGAUCAAGGCCUGUGUGGGCCUCGAUUUUUAAAUUGCAUCCCCCAGCUUGACCUUUACAAUUGUAUUCUGAUUGGGCAAGACCUCUAGGGUUUUUAAAUUCUGUAUGGAAUUGGGCAAGAUCAGGGCCUGUGUGGGCCUCGAUUUUUAAAUUGCUUCCCCCAGCUUGACUGAGCACACAAUCUCUAGGUUCCCUUAGAGUGAAUUGGGCAAGAUACCAUUUUUUUAAAAUUCCAUGUUUGGGCAGCUUUA